rnacentral:rRNA from 1 species
GAUGAACGCUGGCGGCGUGCCUAAUACAUGCAAGUCGAACGGACGGACGAGAAGCUUGCGUCUCUGAUGUUAGCCGCGGGCGUGUGAGUAACGCGUGGAUACCCUCCCUAUAAGACUGGGAUAACUUCGGGAAACCGUAGCUAAUACCGGAUAAUCUUUUGAACCGCAUGGUUCAAAAGUGAAAUACGGUCUUGCUGUCACUUAUAGCUGGAUCCGCGCUGCAUUAGAUAGUUGGUAAGGUAACGGCUUACCACGGCAACGAGGCAUAGCCGACCUGAGAGGGGGAUAGGCCACCCGGGAAGUGAGACACGGACCAGACUCCUACGAGAGGCAGCAGUAGGGAAUCUUCCGCAAUGGGCGAAAGUCUGACGGAGCAACGCCGAGUGAGUGAUGAAGGUCUUCGGAUCGGAAAACCCUGUUAUUAGGGAAGAACAUAUGUGUAAGUAACUGUGCACAUCGUGACGGUACCUAAUCAGAAAGCCCCGGCUAACUACGUG